GAUGAACGCUGGCGGCGUGCCUAAUACAUGCAAGUCGAACGAAACUUCUUUAUCACCGAGUGCUUGCACUCUCCGAUAAAGAGUUGAGUGGCGAACGGGUGAGUAACACGUGGGCAACCUGCCCAAAAGAGGGGGAUAACACUUGGAAACAGGUGCUAAUACCGCAUAACCAUAGUUACCGCAUGGUAACUAUGUAAAAGGUGGCUAUACUACCGCUUUUGGAUGGGCCCGCGGCGCAUUAGCUAGUUGGUAGGGUAAAGGCUUACCAAGGCAAUGAUGCGUAGCCGAAUUGAGAGGUUGAUCGGCCACAUUGGGACUGAGACACGGCCCAAACUCCUACGGGAGGCAGCAGUAGGGAAUCUUCCACAAUGGGCGAAAGCCUGAUGGAGCAACGCCGCGUGGGUGAAGAAGGUCUUCGGAUCGUAAAACCCUGUUGUUAGAGAAGAAAGUGCGUGAGAGUAACUGUUCACGUUUCGACGGUAUCUAACCAGAAAGCCACGGCUAACUACGUG
rnacentral:rRNA from 1 species